AGAGGCCAGAGCUCUAUAAAAUAGGCAAGAAACAAGGUCUUGAGAAACAUGCGCUGUCCUCAAAAACAACCUUGCAAACACAAUAAAUGUCCUUGAGAAGCGCUGUUUGAUGCCACCCACUCUCCUGGAACUUGCCAAAGACAUGUGAACAAACUCAGGACAGCCUGCUGGAUGGGGAAAGACAUGGUCCAAUCUUUCCUUUCACCCCAACCAACAACCAACUAUGUGACUGAGAUCAUCCAGCCAACAUUCUCCUUCACCAGCAAGCCUAUCAGCUGAUUGUAUACACACGAGUAAGUGCAACUGUGAUCAGCCAAUCCUGGCCCUUAUGAGCAGAACCACCCAUCUGAUCCACAAGCUUGUAGACAAUAAUAUAUACUUACAGUUUUAGGCCACCCUGUUUAGAAAUAAUUUGUUAUGCAGUGGUAGCUAACUAACACAAUCUCUCUUCUGUUCUCAGGAUAUUGCCCCAAUUUUAAAAAAUUGCUCAAUGAAUGUGGAUGUAAAUAAAAAAAAGUUAUACAAGUAGAUGACAACCCUCAGGUGACUGUUACACA
rnacentral:lncRNA from 10 species